rnacentral:tRNA from 1 species
GGGCCUAUGGUUCAACGGAAGAACGCAGCAUUCGCAUUGCUGAAAUUCGGGUUCAAUUCCCGGUAGGUCCA